ACCCGCACAAGCGGUGGAUGAUGUGGAUUAAUUCGAUGCAACGCGAAAACCUUACCUACCCUUGACAUGUCCGGAAUCCCGAAGAGAUUUGGGAGUGCUCGCAAGAGAACCGGAACACAGGUGCUGCAUGGCUGUCGUCAGCUCGUGUCGUGAGAUGUUGGGUUAAGUCCCGCAACGAGCGCAACCCUUGUCAUUAGUUGCCAUCAUUUGGUUGGGCACUCUAAUGAGACUGCCGGUGACAAACCGGAGGAAGGUGGGGAUGACGUCAAGUCCUCAUGGCCCUUAUGGGUAGGGCUUCACACGUCAUACAAUGGUCGGUACAGAGGGUUGCCAACCCGCGAGGGGGAGCCAAUCCCACAAAGCCGGUCGUAGUCCGGAUCGCAGUCUGCAACUCGACUGCGUGAAGUCGGAAUCGCUAGUAAUCGCGGAUCAGCAUGUCGCGGUGAAUACGUUCCCGGGUCUU
rnacentral:rRNA from 1 species